UACGAAGGGUGCAAGCGUUAAUCGGAAUUACUGGGCGUAAAGGGUGCGUAGGCGGUUCGUUAAGUCUGUCGUGAAAUCCCCGGGCUCAACCUGGGAAUGGCGAUGGAUACUGGCGAGCUAGAGUGUGUCAGAGGAUGGUGGAAUUCCCGGUGUAGCGGUGAAAUGCGUAGAGAUCGGGAGGAACACCAGUGGCGAAGGCAGCCCCCUGGGAUAACACUGACGCUCAUGCACGAAAGCGUGGGGAGCAAACAGG
rnacentral:rRNA from 1 species